UGAUCUGCCUACCAUGGUGAUAACGGGUAACGGGGAAUCAGGGUUCGAUUCCGGAGAGGGAGCCUGAGAAACGGCUACCACAUCCAAGGAAGGCAGCAGGCGCGAAAAUUACCCACUCCCGGCACGGGGAGGUAGUGACGAAAAAUACGAAUACGGGACUCAAUCGAGGCUCCGUAAUUCGAAUGAGUGCAAUCUAAAUCCUUGAACGAGGACCAAUUGGAGGGCAAGUCUGGUGCCAGCAGCCGCGGUAACUCCAGCUCCAAAAGCGUAUAUUAAAGUUGCUGCAGUUAAAAAGCUCGUAGUUGGAUCUGGGUCGUGCGUUCACAUGUCGUUGUUUGGUUCUGGCUUCGGUCAGUUUCGAACGAUGAUGAGGUGGUCGCGCAGCCUUUCAGCCGUGUCUGCGUGAGCAGGUGUUGGCUGGCCGGUGGGCUUGCUUGCUGGCCAGUUGGCAUGUUUCCUGAUGCCUUUAAACGGGUGUCGGGGGCGUACGGCACUUUUACUUUGAACAAAUUUGAGUGCUCAAAGCAGGCCCAUGUGCCUGAAAAGUCUUGCAUGGAAUAAUGGAAUAGGACUUCGGUUCUAUUUUGUUGGUUUCCGGAUCCGAAGUAAUGGUUAAGAGGAACAGACGGGGGCAUUUGUAUGGUGGCGUGAGAGGUGAAAUUCUAUGAUCGUCGCCAGACAAACUACAGCGAAAGCAUUUGCCAAGAAUGUUUUCAUUGAUCAGGAGCGAAAGUCAGAGUUUCGAAGACGAUCAGAUACCGUCCUAGUUCUGACCAUAAACGAUGCCAACUGACG
rnacentral:rRNA from 1 species